UACGGGGGGUGCGAGCGUUGUCCGGAAUCACUGGGCGUAAAGGGCGCGUAGGCGGCGCAGGAAGUCAACGGUGAAAGUUCGGGGCUCAACCCUGAAUCGGCCGUCGAUACUCCUGGACUCGAGCACUGUAGAGGCAGAUGGAAUUCCGGGUGUAGCGGUGGAAUGCGUAGAGAUCCGGAAGAACACCGGUGGCGAAGGCGGCCCGCUGGGCAACUGCUGACACUGAUGCGCGACAGCGUGGGGAGCAAACAGG
rnacentral:rRNA from 1 species